AGGAUGAACGCUGGCGGCGUGCUUAACACAUGCAAGUCGAACGAUGAAGGCUGGAGCUUGCUCUGGCUGGAUUAGUGGCGAACGGGUGAGUAACACGUGAGUAACCUGCCCCAGACUCUGGGAUAAGCGCUGGAAACGGCGUCUAAUACCGGAUACGAGCUUCCACCGCAUGGUGAGGAGCUGGAAAGAAUUUCGGUCUGGGGAUGGACUCGCGGCCUAUCAGCUUGUUGGUGAGGUAAUGGCUCACCAAGGCGACGACGGGUAGCCGGCCUGAGAGGGUGACCGGCCACACUGGGACUGAGACACGGCCCAGACUCCUACGGGAGCAGCAGUGGGGAAUAUUGCACAAUGGGCGCAAGCCUGAUGCAGCAACGCCGCGUGGAGGGACGAAGGCCUGGUUGUAACCGUAC
rnacentral:rRNA from 1 species